rnacentral:lncRNA from 11 species
GUUGUCCUAUUACUAGCUAAUAUACAGGAUAGAACAAUGGUAACAAAUUAUAAUCAUUACAGGCGCAUGAGUAAUGCACAAAUGAAAACUGUUUACAACAUUACAUCAAAUAUUAUAUUCAUGCUUGUAUGUUUUUUCAGUAGGGACACUAUAUUUAUUUUAAUAUUUAUACUUUAUUUUAGCAGUUACAAUAUACAGUAUACCGGCAGAGAAGAAGAAAGGAAGCUGAAUAACCCUUUUUUUAAUUUCCAACCCCCAGUGGCGUAGUGGGUUAAAACCUUGUGACUUGAAGGUUGGGCUGCUGACCUGAAAGCUGCCAGGUUCGAAUCCAACCUGGGGAGAGCGCGGAUGAGCUCCCUCUAUCAGCACCAGCUCCAUGUGGGGACAUGAGAGAAGCCUCCCACAAGGAUGGUAAAAACAUCAAACAUCCGGGCGUCCCCUGGGCAACGUCCUUGUAGAAGGCCAAUUCUCACACCAGAAGAGACUUGCAGUUUCUCAAGUCCAACCCUUCCCUACCCUUCCCCUCUCUUAUCUCUCCCUUUCCCCUGCUUCCAGGAGAGGAGAAAAGAGGAGGAGAGCCAGGAGAGGCACCUGGGAGGCUUGAGCCCAUAUCGGCCCUUCGCAGAGUCCUGCAGGCCUGGUGAGGGCUACCCAGGCGUCAAGGUUUUAGGAUCUCAACAGUUCCUUUGCGACGGGGUCGCCUUCUGCGCCAUCCUCCACCGCCACCGGCCCGACUUGCUCAUGACUUCUCCCCCCUUCCCUUUCCGGGCUUUAGAUUGAAAAGCCGCAAGAGAUCAUUCUGAAUUUCCUGGCCUGCGAAAGCAUUUCAUUUGUGAGCGAAGGCUGUGCAUCUGGAAUGGAACUCGGAGCGUUAAGCAGCCUUUAUGAGUUGCAAUUUGCCCACCUUCCGAUGUGUUCUUUAUGUCUCACCGACGGCAGCAUAUUGAAAAUGAAACACAUGGAAUAAUUUGAAAUCCUCGGCUGGAGGUUUUCUCAAGCAUCAAAGCCGCAUUACGCAUCCAACGAAAGCUGCAGGGACCCCCAUUUCUGCAACGAUUGGCUUGGAGGCAGAAGUAAGUUCUCUCUUUACCCACAAGUUGUUUCCCAUUUCCUUUGCCGUGACAAGGUCAAUCGUAUGGCAUUUGGG